rnacentral:lncRNA from 1 species
UUCGAUGAGCGAGUGAGGGACCUCUUAGAUUUCAGUAUCUACUUGGACAUCAGUGAUGAAGUUAAGUUUGCAUGGAAAAUCCAGGUCAGCUGAGCAGAAACACUUUUAUGUUUGUUGUUCCACAUGAGCCAGUGAAGAAGGGGAUCUUUCUGCUGUUUUCUAGUAUAGUAUCCUCUAAAAUACUACCGGUGCUUUGGCAGCGGGACAUGGCAGAGCGUGGGCACAGCCUUGAAAGCAUCAAGGCCAGUAUCGAGGCCAGGAAACCAGAUUUUGAUGCCUUUAUUGGUACGGCAUUCUUCCAACUAUAUAUGUUAUAAUCAGUAUAAAACCGCUUCUCAAUAAACCUAGGAUAUACAGCAAAAUGCGACAUCAAUCAAUCAAAUAUCUAGUCAAGAAAUGGAGACAUGUUAGAGCUUACUACUUGCUACUUGGUGUGACAGAUCCGCAGAAGCAGUAUGCUGAUGCUGUGAUUGAAGUUCUGCCGACCCAGUUGAUUCCCGACGACAACGAAGGAAAGGUGCUGCGUGUUAAGCUCAUCAUGAAAGAAGGGGUGAAGAACUUCAACCCGGUUUAUCUCUUUGACGAAGGAUCGACCAUCAGCUGGGUG